rnacentral:lncRNA from 1 species
ACGAAUUCAAUGUAAGUCAUCCAUGUGCUCCAUCAUCAUUGAAACCAAUUUUCUCACCUCAAAAAAAUCACAGGGGCUGCUGAAAAUACCUCUGAUGGUUGAGCAACCCCAGGUCACAAAACAAAACAGAACAAACCCCUGCUAUGAACACAGACUCGUAGAAUUAUGGCGACGGAAAAGACACCUAGGUGACUCAUGGCACUAUACUUCACUGGCAGUUAUGGUCCUGGUUGCCUGAACUGAUGCACAAGCGAGUCACAGCUUUCUGGCCAGGGGAAGAAGAAAGGCACUCCAUGAUUGUAGACGCAGAAUCAAGCAUCUCUACAAAACUCCUCCUAGUGGCCAAGGUAAGCAUGACCGUGAUUACAGCGUACAUCUCACAGAUACAGGUAACCUUUCCAACGACUGGAUUGUCUGGUAAACCUACAGGUGAGAAGUGUUAGGUUUUUGAGAUAGUGGUCCAAAAAUUAACUUUCCCCAUCUUUGGACAAACCAAGAUGUCUUCCCCUGCAGCAGAGGAAACAGCUUGAUUUAUUCAGAGCCUGCUUUUUAGCUACACUGGAUCCCAACAGGUUACUGGGAACACAACAGUGUCUGGUCAGAAGCUGACAAAAUUCACAUCCAAAUCCUCCAUUACUCUCCAAAUGCCCAUCCAACCAAUGACCCACAAAUCAGCUUCCAACACCAAGCCACCCGGAGGUGGGGUGGGGGUGGCUUUCCCAGAGCCACCACUACAUCUAAUGAGGCUCCAAGGGAAAAGGAAGAUCUCCUUCUCCCUACUUUUUUUUCGGUCCAGCAUUACUGAAGCAGAAGCACAGUAGAAAGGUGCAAUCUAUAAUAUAGCCAUAUUGUGAAUCUCUCUGCCUCAGCUCUGUAUUUCUGGCGGCUGCCAGCUGGGAUGAGGAAGCACACAAAGUCCUGAACUCAAGAGAGAAAGCAGGUAAUCCUGAAUGUGAUGAUGGAAAGCUUACUUGGGAGGUGGGAUGGGAGUAUUUUCAUUGCCACUUUUGUGGUGCGCUGAUUGUGUAGCUGAGCCCCAGCAACGCACAUAAAACAUCUGAAAACAAUCACUGCCCACAGUCCUGCAAUGUA